rnacentral:tRNA from 1 species
GAGCUCCUGGUGAAACCAUCACACUGCUUUGUCAAGGCUGAUUUGUGGGUUAAAAUCCCGCGUAGCUCU